rnacentral:rRNA from 1 species
UUGAACGCUGGCGGCAUGCCUUACACAUGCAAGUCGAACGGCAGCACGGGAGCAAUCCUGGUGGCGAGUGGCGAACGGGUGAGUAAUAUAUCGGAACGUGCCCGGUCGUGGGGGAUAACGUAGCGAAAGCUACGCUAAUACCGCAUACGAUCUACGGAUGAAAGCGGGGGAUCGCAAGACCUCGCGCGAUUGGAGCGGCCGAUAUCUGAUUAGCUAGUUGGUGGGGUAAAGGCCUACCAAGGCAUCGAUCAGUAGCUGGUCUGAGAGGACGACCAGCCACACUGGAACUGAGACACGGUCCAGACUCCUACGGGAGGCAGCAGUGGGAAUUUUGGACAAUGGGGGCAACCCUGAUCCAGCAAUGCCGCGUGAGUGAAGAAGGCCUUCGGGUUGUAAAGCUCUUUUGUCAGGGAAGAAACGGUGAGGGCUAAUAUCCUUUGCUAAUGACGGUACCUGAAGAAUAAGCACCGGCUAACUACGUG